ACGUUUGUUAGUGCGUCUCAAACUAGGUCAAUAACACCACAUUGUAAAUCAAUGUAAGAGUUACUCACAACAAGUCAGUUACUAAUCAGACAAUAAAACCAAGAGAGAGCAAAUCCAGCGUUCAAUUCGGCUUCUUUUCUCGGUACUCCACCCUCCCAUCUUGCAGACGUUAGCUUCGUUAGCUCGCUGCUAGGCCACCGACAAGACAACAAACGAGUCCUCUGGCAAUAACAAAACGUACUAAUUCCUCCGGGCACAUGUUAGAUAUCCGCAGGUCCAGUGUUAAGGGAAGUGUUACCAUGGACGCAGAGAGACGCUGCGUGAAGAAUGCAGACGCCGGUGCUGCAUUCACGGAGAUCUGGUGACUUCAGCACUGACAAAUUCCUGACUCCUGCUCCCUCUGAUCCCACAUCUGCCUGAUGCUACUCUCACUCGGCUGCUUCAGUC